rfam:Rhodoferax sp. DCY110, complete genome.
GCCCGGGUGGUGAAAUUGGUAGACGCAGGGGACUCAAAAUCCCCCACCGAAAGGUGUGCCGGUUCGAUUCCGGCCCCGGGCA